UCAAAUGCUGUGCAAAAUUCAGGCCAACAAUUUUCUCAUUCAUAUCCAAAAUUGAUUACAGUAUGACUUGAUAGUCGGUACAUCAAGGGCUUGCUUAGCUCAAAGCUUCACCCACACAUACACACAAGAGUUCACUAACCAAUGUUACUCUUCGGAAACUGCAACUUUAACUCACUAAGAUGCCAAUGCCUAAGAAUCCAAUUCAGCCAAGAUUAAUUUUACAGGAGAGUCAGCAUAGUCUCCAAACGCUAGGCAGCUCACAUGAUUACGUGUGUAUCGACAAGUUCAAUUCUACUCCUUUUUCCUGCUACAAGCCGGGUAGCAAACGGGCGUUUUGGAUUUUGCGGCGAGUGCGUUUUACGCUCUGUCUCGUGCCUGAAUUGCAGUACAUGAGUUUCCUUUUUAGGCUCAUCUGCUUUACUUUGAUUUAUUGAAAAUGCCCUUUAUUUACUUAAACCCUUAACUUAGGACCAGGUAUGGAUGCAGUGGUAACUAUGUCGUACACAUCUUAACAAGGUUUUUGCUGCCUAGCUAGAUGGAGACUCUGCUGACACUCUUGUAAAAUUACUAAUGACUGAAAGGAAUUCAAAGAACACUAGAAAUCUUGGUGGUUAAGUGCAGAACCUAGAGAUGCAAAGAUUAAAUGAAACUCAUGUGUGCAUGGUUUAGGAAGCAACUAAAAGACUAGGGAAGGCGUAAUACCACUGGACGCACCCAAGGAAUUGGUUGCUUCAUUGGUGCUGCAGCGGUGACACGGAUUUGCUUCGGAACCUUGCAGCUGAGCUCCCCCAUCCCUCUUCUUGCACGCAGAGUUGAAGCUGGAGCCGUCUUCUUCACACCGGGCGCAGCAGCAGUGACAGGCAAUGGUGUUGAGCCGACGAAAGAGCGAGCCUUGGAAGCGACGGGACGAGAGACCUUCUUCACGGGCGCAACAGCAGUGGCAGGCAGGCAGAGUGGAGCCUUGAAAGCCGGGCGCUUGCGGUGGUGGCAAGCGGACUCCUCGUCUUCAGCCAUCUGGUGUCCACGGGCACGGAUAGCGCACCGGGCAUCCACGGGGUCACCACCAGCAGCACCCGGCAAGGUGGUGGCAAGCCCAGGGCGCGCGGCGGAGGCGUUAUCAGAGGCACGGAAGGCGCUGGACACCGCAGGCGCCGGGCUGCGUUCUCCAUGGUUGACACCCUUGAGGUGGUGAACAAGUGGGCACCAGGCACGGACGGGAUUAGCACGGGCCGCCUUGACAGGAGCAUCGACGUCAGAUGCGGCCGUGGCGGCGUGGCGUUGGGGACGCCCUCCAUGGUCGACGCCGUAGCGGCGGAGUUCUUGGGCGGCUGCAGCGGCCUCCUUGGCGAGGCCGUCUUCCUGGAGACGGCGCUGGAAGUCGGCGUCCCAGCGGGCGAGGGACUCCCGGGACUCACCGGUGGCCUUGGCAAGGUUGUGCUUGGUCCAGUACUGGAGCACCCUCUCGAGGACGCGCGAGGGCACCCGCGUCUCCAGCGGGAGGGCUUGGGCGGCGGCCGGGCGAUAGUCCCACGCCGGAGCGACGAGCACCUUGCCGUCGGAGCUACGGAGCUGGAGCACCUUCGCCGCCAUCGAUACCGCGUCUUGGAUUGGAUCUGGGGAUCGGGGAGGGAGGCGAACGAAUCGAGUUGGAGCCGCUGCUCCCACCGCGGCCGCCCCCUUUUAUUUACCGGAGAGCUCCCAAUUCUUGCCGGACGCGGAUUAACAGCUGUCGCCGGCUGAAUUGGAACUGAAGUCGAACUCAGCUGCGGCAAUCUUACGCGAUGGCUCGUGGCUUCCGGGGAGCAAGCCCUUGGCCGUGUACCACCCGAGCGGGGCAGGCGACGUCCCCGCGCUGGCCCGGGCGACGUUCGGGUCGGCGCGCGUCCACGGCCAUUCCGCCAGCGGUCAGCUCGGCGGCGUCCUGGAGAUCUUCGGUGGCGUCUCCGGCCGGUUGAUGCACGACGAUCUCCUGCUUCACUGGGGCAUGGAGGAGCGGCUCAGCAGCCAGCCUUGGUUUCUUGGCGCUCUGCUGGUCGCCCCUCCGCAUCGCCGCCUGCGAGCCCUGCGAACCAGCAUCCUCCCCCUUCACCCCUGUCUCUCUCCGGUGUUCGGUGUUCGGUGUCUCUGAAGUUGCCUCUGGAGUUGCAACUGGUUCAGUGAGCGGCACACGGUAAAAGAAGCAACUGGUCUCCUGCUUCACAAUCUUUUUCUUUUUUAGGAUCACUGCUUCACAAUCUAAAACAAUACAUUUACACUACUGUGCUUAUUUUGGAUGGUUAGGGCAUACCAUCAUAAGGGUAAAUUUUUUGGUUUACUCUCUUACGGCGAACCUAGCCGAUCCCCUAAAAACAUUAAUGGAGUAUAAUUUUUUUCUUCAACUCUAUUCCUCCCAAGAUUUCCGUAAAUCUACUUCAUCGUGCGGCGGUCGAGUAAAACUUCCUCUUGCCCUCCCGCGCCGCACGGUCUCCCGCCCCCGCUACCGCCGUCAAUGACCUCCGAGCCGACCAGAAUGGAUAGCCAACCCCCCUUCCCCCGCUCACCCUGCCGGCCACCGGCACCGACUUUUCGCCGCCGGUGCCGAAAAAAAGCUUGGGGAUGACUGAGGGAGUCCUGGAUUCGGGGGUCCUCAAGUGUCCGACCCAGAAGUAUGGGCCGAGUUGGAUGGGUCGUACAGGAUCAAGCUGAAGAUUAUCCUCCGUGUCCAGAUGGGACUUCUCAAUACGUAGACGGCAAGAUUAGAGUCCGGAAGCUUCCUUCCCUGAUGAACCGACCUUGUACAAACCCUAGGCCCCUCUAGUGUGUAUAUAAACUAGAGGGGUUGGUCUGCAGAGCUUAUCUUCUUCACCGUCAUUGGGAUACUCAUAGGCUAGACAUCUAGGGUUUAGCCAUUACGAUCUCGAGGUAGAUCAACUCUUGUAAUCUUCAUACUCGUCGAAUAUAAUCAAGCAGGAGUAGGGUUUUACCUUCCUUAAGAGGGCCCGAACCUGGGUAAACACUGUGUCCCCUGGCUUCCUGUUACCAUUGAUCCUUAGACGCACAGCUUGGGCCCCAUACCCGAGAUCUGCCGGUUUUGACACCGACGUUGGUGCUUUCAUUGAGAGCUCUGUCGUGUUGUCUGCAAAAGGCGGUCUAUGGCUGGCCUAGUCGUCAACUACAAUAUCACUUCUGGAAGGUGCCUAUCUUCGGGGCAGACCCUCUAGUUCGGCGGUUUCACCAUAAGGGCCCGCGCGGCCGUCGAGUCCGCAACUCCCCCAUGGUCGCCAGACACCGUCCCCGCAUUGGCCCUAAGUACUCCGAAAAAUUGGAUCUGGCGGAUGUUUCGUCUUUAAAUGAACUGCUGGACCGCAUCACUGCCCUGGGGGUCUCAACGGACUAUGAUCAGAUCGGGCUCAAGCCCGACCAGAAGGAAAUUAAUCACCCGCCGAUCACCCACUUCGUAGCGGUCGUUGAGGAACCGGCCACAGACGCUUCCCUCCCCAUAUUGAAAACCAAGCAUGUUCGGGUCUCCAAAUCCCCUGAGCCGGAUACUCUCCCUUCGGACGGGACCUUACGCACUCCAGACUCUAGUUCAAGUUUAGGAUUGCUGGAGCCCUUGCGCUUAACCGAACCCGAACCGGCCGCCUCGAAAACAAUUCUAGCUUCGAACACAGAUGUGGGACAGGAUCCAAAAUUAAAUCCACCCACCCACCACAAUAUAUACUCUCCAAGCAACUCAGGUCCUCCAGAUAUAUAUGACUUGAUGUAUGUGCGGCAGCAGCCUCAGAAAACGGUCCACCACUUUUGGGCCAAAUUCCUGCUUGUCAAAAACAGGAUCAAAGACUACUCGGACGAUGGCAUAGUUUAGGUUUUCCACCGUAAUUGCACCAACGAGGGAAUAUUGAAUGCCCUCGACCGUCGCCACAUACAGAGUUUCACGGAAUUAUCACACGUAGCACAAAAGUACUAUGCGAUGGAAAGCACAUGGAGGGCCCAGAAUACUCAGCUAGAGCCCGCUGCCAUGAAGCAGUGUGCACCUGGGGCAAACGGAUACAUUCUAGCCGGUCACCCGACCACCAGUCUAUGAGCAGGAAAAAUAAACCCCUCACAGGACACAAGUCCAUUCUUGACGAACUGCUGGAGAAGCCCUGCCCGAUUCACGCCACUCGGCACAAAGUCCCAACCCAUAGCCUCCGAGCAUGUUGGGUACUCCGGCAAGUAGCAAAAAGUGGAGAGGCCAUCCUCACCACAACUCCAGAAAAUACUCUCCGGAGAGGGACAACUUUAAUGUCCUAACAGUCUUCAAUACCUUCUCUUUGAACAAUCAACGUAAACGGGCACUCCGCGACCUCGCCAAAGUCCACCAAGUUACCGCACUGAGCCCAUGGAACGACACGGCAAUAACCUUUACGGCCGACGACGAACCAAAGGCUCGGUCAGUCCGAGCACUCGCUGCCUUAGUACUAAACCCCAUCGUUGAUGGUUUUCGGCUUACUAAAGUGCUCAUGGACGGUGGCGGUGGACUUAACCUCAUUUACGAGGACACGCUCGACAAAAUGCAGAUGGAAAGAUCACGCAUCGAGCAAAGCAAUACCACCUUUUGAGGUAUUAUCCCAAGUCGAGAAGCACACUACUCAGGAAAAACUAAACUGGAUGUGGUGUUCGGCACGCCUGAGAACUAUAGAUCCGAAGAUUUGCUCUUUCAUGUGGUCCCCUUCAAUAGUGGGUAUGACACCAUCCUCGGCUGGGACGCUUUCUCAUGCUUUCAAGCUAUAGCCCGAAAAAGCCCUCCAUGCCGAAAUCAAAACUGCGUCCUUGGCCCUCGAGGCACUAUCCGAAGCCCUAGCGGCGGAGGAAUUAACCACCCUACGGUCCAUGAUGGAUAGGGACGAUGUGAUCCUCGAUAAGAGAUCUAAAUCCACCUCUUUCAAGCCAGCCGAGGAAAUAGUCAAAUUCCAAGUGCACCCGGUGAACCCUAACAAAACAACAUCUAUCGGAGCAUAGCUGGAUCCGGCAGUGGAUGCCGCCUAUGCACAUUCCUGCGAGAAAAUUGGGAUAUCUUUGCCUGGCACCCUUCAGACAUGCCUGGCAUCCCACGAAGACUGGCGAACACAAUCUUAAUGUAAUCAAGGGAUUCAAACCCGUGAAGCAGACACUACGACAAUUCUCCGAACCCAAGCGUCAAGCCAUGGGAGAAGAGCUAGCCAAGUUCUUAGAGGCUGGGUUUAUUAGGGAAAUUAAACAUCCGAAUUGGUUAGCCAACCUGGUUAUGGUAUUCCCUCCGUCCGAAAAUACUUGUCGCAGAAAUGGACAUAAAUGAAUGCAUCUAAAACUAAAAUACGUCUAGAUACAUCCAUUCCUCCGACAAGUAUUUCCGGACGGAGGGAGUACCAAAGAAAGACAAAUUCUAGCGCCUGUGUGUCGAUUUCAAGGACCUCAACAAGGCUUUCCCCAAAGACCCCUUCACAUUGCCUCGCAUUGACCAAAUUAUCGACGCAACUACAGGCCACGACUCUUUGUGUUUCCUCGACGCCUACUCCGGAUACCAUCACAUUAAGAUAAAGGAAUCGGACCAGGCUACAACCGCGUUCAUCACCCCGUAUGGUCCCUUCUACUUCAACACUAUGCCCUUCGGACUCAAAAGCGCUGGGGCUACCUACCAGCGCAUGAUUCAAACCUGCCUGAAAAAGCAAAAAAUAGGCAAAACGGUCGAAGCAUAUGUGGACGACAUGGUCAUCAAGACAAAUUAAAGCAUGUCAAGACACUCGUGGACAAUCUUCGCCAGUCUACAAGCCUUUACAAACGUUUACAUGCAUGAGUUUCUGGCAAAAGCUUAUCUUCUUCAUUGAUAUGCCGAUACAAGCACAAAUAUUACAGAACAUAAGCAUGGGCUUGGAAGAUUACAUUUUUCUAGAAAGUUACGAUUUGGCAAGUGCCUACAAAUUGAGAAAAAGAUAAGUGCCCCGUGAUCCCCGUUCUUGCCCCUUUCCUCUCCAGGCACGACAGGCAAAGAAAGGUGACGGGCAUGGGGAAUGCAGCGAUGGAGAACUUGACGAGGAAGCCCGUCCACCACCGACACCAGAGCCACUAGGACGCAACCCCCGACAAGACGUGUUGCUGGAGGAAGGGGAAGGUGGAGUAGAUGAUGGUGCUGCCACUGAUUGUCAGCUAGAGUCGGAGUCGUAGUCCUCCUGCCCGCUGCCAUCUUCGUCGCUGGCGUUGUCCUCCGCGCCGCUGUCGCUCAAGGAGGAGCUCUCAUCGUCAGUGGAACUCUCCACGCAGCACCCUAAGCGGAUUACUGAGCUCCCGAAGACCUUGACGGAGACCAGGUCGCUCUCCAUUAACUUCAAAUGGAGAACGUGCCCCUCCGACAAACUGUGGGCAUGUGCAAAAGUCUUCCACCCCUGGCGAAGGUACAUGACGUGAGGGCGGGGAAAGUCAAUGUCAGCCCACAUGUUGUCGUUCCUGCAGCUCCUCAUGUGAAGCCUCAAGGCAUGCGUUGGAUCCUGCUCCAUCACCCGGGCGAACGGGGUCGAAAGCUGGAGACGACUGCACACAUGCUUAUACAGCCUGAUGAAGAACUCGUAGGGCUGGUCUCGGACAUGGCCGCCCAUCGGAGGAGGGGCCGCCGAUGGAAGCGCAGCUGGAGCACCGCCCCAUCCACCUCCUCCCCGAGUACCGCGACGACCUCGGCCUCGUCCCCUUCCUCUUACCCUCGCAACGAGCUCCGCCGCCGGAGGCUUCGGAGGAGAAGGAAUGCGUUGUCGAGCAGAAGCCCUCGUCGCCGCCGUCGAAGCACCAACACACCCUUUCACCAUGGCGAAUGAGAGGAAGAUGGUAAGCAAAAAGUGGGGAAGGGGCGAGUGUGGAGAAGCACUGUCCCUCCCCCUUUUUAUAGAAGAAGCAAGGCCGGGGCCUGGCCACCUAGCCCAAGGGGCGGCCGCCCCGCACGGCCAAUGCGGCCUCUGGAAGCACGGGGAAUCGGAACCGACCCUCUCCCCAUAUCAACAAACGCCUGGUUUUUCGCCUCGGCGUUAAUGCCCACGUCCUCCGCAUCCACCGCCUGCCCUUCCCAAGGCAUGAAGGAUAUGCGGCGAGGCGGAAGGGGGCGUGAGGACAGGUGGGACGGCCGUUUUCUACCCCGUGAUCAUGGGGUGCGGCGCCAUGCAAGCUGCGACCCGAGUCCACUUAGUAAAUGAGUAGCGCCCGUGCAGAUUCCUUCUUUUUAAAUAAGGGAAGCACGGGUUGCCUUUUUACUAUCGACUACGAGAUGACGCAUGCGUGCCAUGCCCAUCCCACACACAUGACCCCCACAUCACAUGCUCGACAUGGGUCAUGGGGAAGCGCAACUGACAGAAAGAUCGUGGUGAUCCAUCUCUGCCACGCCCGCCCGCGCACUGCCUUGGGCCUAGCCCAACUACACCUUGCGCUUAUGUGUCGCCCAGGCCCGGGUGUCGGUGUCAAAACCGGCGGAUCUCGGGUAGGGGGUCCCGAUCUGUGCAUCUAAGGCUAAUGGUAACAGGAGGCAAGGGACACGAUGUUUUACCCAGGUUCGGGCCCUCUCGAUGGAGGUAAAACCCUACUUCCUGCUUGAUUGAUCUUGAUGAUAUGAGUAUUGCAAGAGUUGAUCUACCACGAGAUCGUAGAGGCUAAACCCUAGAAGCUAGCCUAUGAUGAUUAUGAUCGUCCCUCUACGGACCAAACCCUCCGGUUUAUAUAGACACCGGAGGGGGCUAGGGUUUACACAUAGUCGGUUGCAAAGAAGGAGAUCUAAUAUCCGGAUUGCCAAGCUUGUCCUCCAUGCAAAGGAGAGUCCCAUCCGGACACGAGACGAAGUCUUGAGUCUUGUAUCUUCAUGGUCCAUCCGUCCGGCCAAAGUAUACAAUCCGGCUGUCCGGAUACCCCCUAAUCCAGGACUCCCUCAGUAGCCCCUGAACCAGGCUUCAAUGACGAUGAGUCCAGUGCGUAGAUUGUCUUCGGCAUUGCAAGGCGGGUUCCAUCUCCGAAUACUCCAAGGUAAACCUCGAACACUUAAAUCGUGUCCGGCUUUGCAAGAUGAUUCUCACAUACCACCGUAGAGAGAACGAUAUUCCACAAAUAUAAUUUGCUGACAACUUUAGAUAACGUGACACGACACCAUGGUCGAGUCAUUAUUCGAACCAUUUUCCCACAACCAGCCACCGCACAUAUUGCCAGGCGGCUUCCUCGGCACGUUUUGUUGAAGCAGAGAUCAUGUCCCCUUAUCACGGGAUUCUCAUCAAUACGGGUACGGGUAACCCAAUCGCGCCAUCAAUCAUGGCGCUUGGGAAAUAAGCGAUUUUCAACGGGCGAGUGGGGAGGCGCACCGUUUUCGUCGCCUCUAUAAAGGGAUAAGGAUCCCCCAUUUUUACCCACGCCUUCUUCCUCCUUCGCUUAUCCAUUCUCGCACCCUCGAGCUCCAGUGCCCUAGUUCACACCUUCUCCGCACAGCCAAACAUGUCCGGAGCAGGAGGCAAGUGGGUGGCCUCCACCAUCAAGGAGGAGCAUAUUACGAAGCUUCGGGCGGCCGGAUACUUGGCCACAGAUAUAGCGCACCGGCUGCCGGAUGUAGGGCAGAUCAUUCCGACUCCGGGUCCCCAUGAGAGGGUCGUGUUCCUCGCCCACUUCAUCCGCGGACUGGGAUUUCCACUUCACACCUUUUGUCCGCGGGCUCAUGUUUUACUAUGGGCUGGACUUCCAUGAUCUAGCCCCAAAUUUUGUCCUCAACAUCUCGGCGUUUAUCGUCGUGUGCGAGGCCUUCCUCCGCAUCAAGCCCCACUUCGGCUUGUGGCUACGAAUCUUCUUUGUGAAGCCGAAGAUCGUGAGCGGCCAGCAAGCGGAGUGCGGAGGCGCCAUGGUGGGCAGGAUGCCCAAUGUUACCUGGCUUGACGGUUCCUUGGCGGAGACCAUGAAAGGGUGGCAAUCGGGGUGGUUCUACAUCACCGAGCCGCGCGACACCAACUAGGCAGCAGCCCCCGAAUUCCGAUCCGGAAUUCCCAUGCGGCUCACUUCCUAGGAAAAGAAGGGCCUGGCCUGGGGCGAACCUGUGGAGCUGACAGGACUUCAGAACUGCAUCAAAAAUAUGAUGGACAAGAAGAUCAAGCUUGUCAACGUGAUCCAGGUCAUGCUCGUCCGUCGAAUCCUUCCGUGCCAAAGACGGGCAUUCAAUCUGUGGGAGUUCGAUCCGGCCAAACACCAGACACUUCAAGAGCUUUACGGCACGACACACAAGGAUGCAUGGAAGGUGCUAUUCAAGGCCUCCGAAAUUCCUCCUCCCACAUCCGAGGACCACGGACUCCACGUCAUGCGGCUCCCCCAUCCGGUGAGUUUUCUUACCAUCACGAGAUGUAGCUUUCUUAGCAUACCCAUGGGGAGGAUUUUAAGUCAUCGUGUGUAUUUAAUCAGGAUUACGUGGUGACGGCGGAGCGGAUCGACUGUCCGGCUCCACUGCCAGAAGGCCCAGCAACCGCUCUCCUGAAGGAGAUGCUAGUCCCGGCGCCUUACAAGGUGCCGGAAAAGAAGGCCGAAAAGAAGGCCACGGGGACCAGGAAGGGUCUCCGGCGUAAGGUCACACCGGACGCCUUGUCCGAAGACAAUGAGGCACGCUCCUCCCACGAAGGGGAGGAGGAGAAGAAUAGGGCCGCCCCAUCCGGGGAGGCCGAAGGGUCUAAGAGGGCAGCCUUGGGGACCAGGAAGGGUCCCCGACGCAAGGCCGUCAUAGACUCGUCGUCCGAGGACGACGAGGCAGAUUCCUCCCACGAAGGCGGGGGGAAACAUGAAGAAAUUCCUCCUCCCCACAUUGGGGAGGAGAAGAAAAGGAAAUCCGCCCCGCAGGGGGAGGCUAGGACGCCGAAGAAGGGAAAGGUGUCCCUUUCGGAUCACUCCACCACGACCGCCUACAGCGAGGAGGAGUGGCUGCCCAGCGGCAAGACCCUGGUGAGAUCGUAAGUAUCUGCACUCUGUAAUACUGUAGUGCUACUUAGCUUCAUAGUUUAUUAUAAUGCCGAACACGUAUAUGCAGUCCGACCAGGGCCCAUCCCGAGGUAUCCUCUUCGGAUGGGUCUUUGAGCGAUUCGGCGAUGAAUUCGCUCCCGACGGCCACCUCCCCUCGGCCUACGGAUGACACGGAGGUAUGGUCCCAUAGGGUCCCAGAGCUGGGGGAGGCGACUCUGGAGACGCCCCAAGGCGAAAUUCCAGACGCCGGGCACAUGGGGCGCAAGAUCGCCGCAGAUUAUGCUGACGAGAGCCGCAGCAGGUUGGGCUCCCAGCCGGACACUGUACCGGAACCUCCAAAGGUUUCGGAUUCGGGUAGGCAGCCCCUCGCUAAGGAGGACGAGCCUGCCGUGCCGAUGACUUCCGUUGCGCCAGAGGCGUCGGAUAGUCUGCUGGAAGUGCUUCGCGGCGCUUCCAUGGAUGAAGAGAACCGUACUCUUAUGAGUGCGGUGAUUCAGAAGGUUCGGUCCGCCAAAAGCGGAUUGACCGAAGCCUGUACCAGCUUCCUGACAGGCUUUGAGGUAAGGAAAAAAGUGUGAGAAGUUAUCACCCCAUAGACAGUAGCCCUUGAUACUCUGUUUGGUGUUCGGAAAGAAAAGCCAGACGGAGGGUCAACUCUAGACCGCAGGAGUCUAACAGUAUGUGUCUAUGUGAAUAAGCAGGCAGUGCUGCUUGCUGCUGCUGCCCGCAUAGCAGAGGUCACCGGACUCAAACGGGGCCUGGAGCAAGCCGAAGAGGAGCUCGGCCUCACGAAGAGGCAGCUCGAAGAGAACAAAGGUGAGUGAUACCCCGUUCACAUAUCAUAUAGAGGAGAAAAAAUUGGUGACGCUAACAAAAAGACUCAUGAUUUUGUAAUAGGGGCCACGACCGAAGUGGCGGCCCUGAAGAAAGCGCUAUCCGAGGCCGAAGAUAAGGCGGCCACGGAGCGCAUUGAGCGUGAAAAGCAAGAUGCUAGGGUGGGCGAGGUACAACAAGAGCUCCAGGAGCUCAGCAAGAAGUUCGAGUCCUUGGAGCGUGACUUCAAGACGAAAGAGUCUGAGCUUGCGAAGGCCCUUUUGAGCAUGAAAGACGCCAAGGCCGAAGCCCAAAAGGCCCAACAGGAAAUCCAGGCGGCCAAGAAAAUAGCGGCGGGUAAGACAUUCAUUAUGCAAAGCAAGCAUGUGGAGGAGACAUUUCUUUUACUUACCCGAAUUCGGAGCUCUCCAGGGGCAUUCGCAGAUCUGCCACGCAGCAUAUCGGAUGCCAUGGAGUUCUACCGUGCCGAAGAGGGGAGCUCAGCGGAGAAGCUGUUCUGGUCCCAGUAUGCUGGAGCCGAACACCCAAUGCCUAUGGGUGACCAAUUGGAGCAAUUGGUUGAACUCCACAGGGCGGCCGAAGUGGCCAUGAAAGAUUUCAUAGUCUGGAUGUGGCCUGGUGAGUCCUGCCUGCCAGCUACUUUGGCCUUAUAAAGCGGAUGGUAAAUGCUUGUUUGCGGCUUGAAGUUAUCAAGUGAUCUGUUUGCAUUGAGGGUGCCCGCCGAGCCUUUGCCCGUGCGAAGAUGCAUUAGGCCAAGCUGGAUGCAGAGAAGCUGGUGAAGGAUGGACCACCGGAGGGCAAGGCACAUUGCUAUCCCGAGAAAUAUUAUGAUGGCGUUAUGAAAGGCGCUCGCCUCGUGGCCGAUGAAUGUACCAAGGACACAAUCUUUGAGUGAAUGUACUCCUGUCAUUUUUGUAAUAUGAAAACCAAUUUGUUUGCCCUAUAUAGCGCUUUGUUGAUUUAAAAUAUUACCUUAUGUGUGACUGUUUAUAAAAUUCUAAAAGUAGGCCAGUCGUCGGCUUCCGCCCCCACGUAACUAGUACUAGGGUGUUCGUGGAAAACCCAAACACUCUUUAUCCAAAUUUUUGGUCCCUGAAGGAGGUGUUUGGCGCAGCGAACAAGGCAAUCGGACUAUGCAGCUUUAUAACUCUCACUUAGCCAUAGAAGUUUACAAUUUUAAAUUUUGGCGAAGCCCCUGGAAUUCGGAAAGCUGAAUUGGGGCGCUAUAUACGCCUAAAUCAGAUGAGGCCGAUUCCUCAACUAAAGCGGAAAAAAUCUUUAAGGAUUUUAAGACCUCUCGAACAGCGACCAGCUCUCGCUGCAUCAUGAUAGUCAGUUUUCGGCUUUCUCUACUGAGGUGCUCGUCCGGAAGAACUGGGACACAAUCGCAGUAGUUCUCCCUGCGCUACCUUAGCCGAUAUAACGGAACGUAAGGUACCAAAACAAGGGAGCCGGGCAAACCCAACUAUUGACCCAAGACAUGAUUCGGAGCUGAUGCAUAUAAUGCUAUAAGUUCGGGGUGCCGCACUAUCAAAAGUGUUCGGACUUAUCUUGCCGUAUUAUGGGGCGCCAUAAGAGGCCCCUGGCAAACUGAAUGUACCAAAGUGUACGGAUUCAAUAUUAAAUAAACAUUUAUAGGAAAAAUGUGAAGAUAGGAAUAAUAAGCUGGCGCUAUAUAUUGUUUCCCAUUGUGAGAUAAUACGUCCGAGCAUCUGUGUACAAUUGAUGCGUUAAGCAGAAUCAAAAUAGGACUAUUUGACAUGUCCUAUCCAAGGGCGGGCCACAUGCGGGUAUGCAAAAUAGGUAUAAUGAUCAUUGACAGAUGCCACCUGGGUAUUACUGUUGUGCACAAAGCCGUUUGCCUCCUUGGUUUUCCCUCCUGUGAUAAGUUCGAUGAUCCGGCUCUUUAAAGGGACUGCCCGAAAGUAGGGUCCUGAAAGAGAAAAGGGGGGGGGGUUAUUAAAGUAUGUUGCGGCUGAACCGCACUAUUGACCGCAUCACCAUUGCGCCUCCGCCUAUGCCCAUGGUAUUUUGAGUGCAUAAUUGUGUACGCACAACACAAAUGCUGCUUGAAUGGGGCUAGGGCGGAGGCCGGACUGCUAGUCGUGCUCUUGGCGAGCCUGGCGAUCCUGUUGUAGGGUGCUCCGGACUCGCUUGACGGUGUUCGGGGUUGUUGUCGCUGGAUUGGUGGUUUGCCAGAGAAGGUUGCUUUGUACUUCUGCCGCGAGGGCUGCAGUAUGCUCCUCUGUACAGAGAGAGCGGUCUGUGUUUCCAUUGACUGUUAUAACCCCGCGAGGUCCUGGUAUCUUGAGCUUGAGGUAUGCAUACUGUGGUACCGCAUUGAAUCGAGCGAAUGCGGUUCGUCCGAGCAGUGCAUGAUAGCCACUACGAAAAGGGACGAUAUCAAAGAUUAAAUCCUCGCUUCGGAAGUUAUCCAGGGAUCCGAAGACCACUUCCAGUGUUAUGGAGCCUGUACAACGGGCCUCUACUCCUGGAAUUACACCUUUGAAGGUGGUUUUUGUGGGCUUGAUCCUUGAGGGAUCGAUGCCCAUUUUGCGCACUGUGUCCUGAUAAAGCAGGUUCAGGCUAAUGCCACCGUCCAUACGGACCCGCGUAAGGUGGAAUCCGUCGAUGAUUGGGUCGAGGACCAAUGCGUCUGAACCGCCGUGACGGAUGCUGGUAGGGUGAUCGCUACGACCAAAAGUGAUCGGACAGGCUGACCAUGGGUUGAACUUUGGGGCGACUGGCUCCAUCGCAUAGACGUCCCUUAGUGCUGAAGGAAAUAUGCCCUAGAGGCAAUAAUAAAGUUAUUAUUUAUUUCCUCAUAUCAUGAUAAGUGUUUAUUAUUCAUGCUAUAAUUGUAUUAACCGGAAACAUGAUACAUGUGCGAAUGCAUAGACAAACUUAAUAUCACUAGUAUGCCUCUACUUGACUAGCUCAUUAAUCAAAGAUGGUUAUGUUUCCUAACCAUAGACAUGUGUUGUCAUUUUAUUAACGGGAUCACAUCAUUAGGAGAAUGAUGUGAUUGACUUGACCCAUUCCGUUAGCUUAGCACUUGAUCGUUUAGUAUGUUGCUAUUGCUUUCUUCAUGACUUAUACAAAGUUCCUAUAACUAUGAGAUUAUGCAACUCCCGUUUAUCGGAGGAACACUUUGUGUGCUACCAAACGUCACAACGUAACUGGGUGAUUAUAAAGGAGCUCUACAGGUGUCUCCAAAGGUACAUGUUGUGUUGGCGUAUUUCGAGAUUAGCUUUUGUCACUCUGAUUGUCAGAGAGGUAUCUCUGGGCCCUCUCGGUAAUGCACAUCACUAUAAGCCUUGCAAACAAUGUAGCUAAUGAGUUAGUUACAGAAUGAUGCAUUACGUAACGAGUAAAGAGACUUGACGGUAACGAGAUUGAACUAGGUAUUGGAUACCGACGAUCGAAUCUCGGGCAAGUAACAUACCGAUGACAAAGGGAGCAACGUAUGUUGUUAUGGGGUUGACCGAUAAAGAUCUUCGUAGAUAUGUAGGAGCCAAUAUGAGCAUCCAGGUUCCGCUAUUGGUUAUUGAUCGGAAAUAGUUCUAGGUCAUGUGUACAUAGUUCUCGAACCCGUAGGGUCCGCACGCUUAAGGUUUCGAUGACAGUUAUAUUAUGAGUUUAUGAGUUUUGAUGUACCGAAGUUUGUUCAGAGUCCCGAAUGAGAUUACAGACAUGACGAGGAGUCUCGAAAUGGUCGAGACAUGAAGAUUGAUAUAUUGGAAGCCUAUAUUUGGAUAUCAGAAGUGUUCCGGGUGAAAUCGGGAUUUUACCGGAGUACCGGGAGGUUACCGGAACCCCCCGGGAGCUUAAUGGGCCUAUAUGGGCCUUAGUGGAAAUAGAGGGCAGCAAGGGGUGUGGGGCGCGCCCCCCAAGGCCCAAACCGAAUUAGUUUAGGGCAAGUGGGGCCGGCCCCCCUCUUUCCUUCUCCCCCUCUCCCUUUCCUUCCCCUCUCCUAGUCCAACAAGGAAGAGGGGAGUCCUACUCCCGGUGGGAGUAGGACUCCCCAUGGCGCGCCCCCUCCUAGGCCGGCCGCCCCUCCCCCCUUGGCUCAUUUAUAUACGGGGGCAGGGGGCACCUCUAGAUACAACAAUUGAUCUCUUGAUCUCUUAGCUGUGUGCGGUGCCCCCUCCACCAUAGUCCUCGAUAAUAUUGUAGCGGUGCUUAGGCGAAGCCCUGCGACGGUAGAACAUCAAGAUUGUCACCAUGCCGUUGUGCUGACGGAACUCUUCCCCGACAUUCUGCUGGAUCGGAGUCCGGGGAUCGUCAUCGAGCUGAACGUGUGCUAGAACUCAGAGGUGCCGUAGUUUCGAUGCUUGAUCGAUCGGGCCGUGAAGACGUACGACUACAUCAACCGCGUUGUUCUAACGCUUCCACUUUCGGUCUACGAGGGUACAUGGACAACAUUCUCCCCUCUCGUUGCUAUGCAUCACCAUGAUCUUGCGUGUGCGUAGGAAUUUUUUUGAAAUUACUACGUUCCCCAAUAGUGGCAUCCGAGCCUGGUUUUAUGCGUAGAUGUCAUAUGCACGAGUAGAACACAAGUGAGUUGUGGGCGAUAUAAGUCAUACUGCUUACCAGCAUGUCAUACUUUGGUUUAGCGGCAUUGUGAGAUGAAGCGGCCCAGACCGACAUUACGCGUAUGCUUACACGACACUGGUUUCACCGCUACGAGCACUCGUUGCUUAAAGGCGACCGGCGGGUGUCUGUCUCUCUCACUUCAGUUGAACCGAGUGUGGCUACACCCGGUCCUUGCGAAGGUUAAAACAACACCAACUUGACAAACUAUCGUUGUGGUUUUGAUGCGUAGGUAAGAACGGUUCUUGCUAAGCCCGUAGCAGCCACGUAAAAAUUUGCAACAACAAAGUAGAGGACGUCUAACUUGUUUUUGCAUGGCAUGUUGUGAUGUGAUAUGGUCAAGACGUGAUGCUAUAUUUUAUUGUAUGAGAUGAUCAUGUUUUGUAACCAAGUUAUCGGCAACUGGCAGGAGCCAUAUGGCUGUCGCUUUAUUGUAUGAAAUGCAAACGCCCUGUAAUUGCUUUACUUUAUCACUAAGCGGUAGUGAUAGUCAUAGAAGCAAUAGAUGGCGUAACGACAAUGAUGCUACGAUGGAGAUCAAGGUGUCGCGCCAGUGAUGAUGGUGAUCAUGACGGUGCUUCGGAGAUGGAGAUCACAAGCACAAGAUGAUGAUGGCCAUAUCAUAUCACUUAUAUUGAUUGCAUGUGAUGUUUAUCCUUUAUGCAUCUUAUCUUGCUUUGAUUGAUGGUAGCAUUUUAAGAUGAUCUCUCACUAAAUUAUCAAGAAGUGUUCUCCCUGAGUAUGCACCGUUGCGAAAGUUCUUCGUGCUGAGACACCACGUGAUGAUCGGGUGUGAUAGGCUCUACGUUAAAAUACAAUGGGUGCAAAACAGUUGCACACGCAGAAUACUCAGGUUAAACUUGACGAGCCUAGCAUAUACAGAUAUGGCCUCGGAACACGGAGACCGAAAGGUCGAACAUGAAUCAUAUAGUAGAUAUGAUCAACAUAGUGAUGUUCACCAUUGAAACUACUCCAUGUCACGUGAUGAUCAGACAUGGUUUAGUUGAUUUGGAUCACGUAAUCACUUAGAUGACUAGAGAGAUGUCUGUCUAAGUGGGAGUUCUUAAGUAAUAUGAUUAAUUGAACUUAAAAUUUAUCUUGAACUUAGUACCUGAUAGUAUUUUGCUUGUCUAUGUUUGUUGUAGAUAGAUGGCCCCUGCUGUUGUUCCAUUGAAUUUUAAUGCGUGCCUUGAGAAAGCUAAGUUGAAAGAUGAUGGUAGCAAUUACACGGACUGGGUCCGUAACCUGAGGAUUAUCCUCAUUGCUGCACAGAAGAAUUACGUCCUGGAAGCACCGCUGGGUGCCAGGCCUGCUGCAGAUGCAACUGACGACGUUAAGAACGUCUGGCAUAGCAAAGCUGAUGACUACUCGAUAGUUCAGUGUGCCAUGCUUUACGACUUGGAACCGGGUCUUCAACGAUUUUUUGAACGUCAUGGAACAUAUGAGAUGUUCCAGGAGUUGAAGUUAAUAUUUCAAGCAAAUGCCCGGAUUGAGAGAUAUGAAGUCUCCAAUAAGUUCUAUAGCUGUAAGAUGGAGGAGAAUAGUUCUGUCAGUGAACAUAUACUCAAAAUGUCUGGGUAUAGUAAUCACUUGAUUCAACUGGGAGUUAAUCUUCCUGAUGAUAGUGUCAUUGACAGAAUUCUUCAGUCACUGCCACCAAGCUACAAGAGCUUCGUGAUGAACUAUAAUAUGCAAGGGAUGGACAAGACUAUUCCCGAGCUCUUCGCAAUGCUAAAAGCUGCAGAGGUAGAAAUCAAGAAGGAGCAUCAAGUGUUGAUGGUCAAUAAGACCACCAGUUUUAAGAAAAAGGGCAAAGGGAAGAAGAAGGGGAACUUCAAGAAGAACAACAAACAAGUUGUUGCUCAAGAGAAGAAACCCAAGUAUGGACCUAAGCCUGAAACUGAGUGCUUCUACUGCAAGCAGACUGGACACUAGAAGCGGAACUGCCCCAAGUAUUUGGCGGAUAAGAAGGAUGGCAAAGUGAACAAAGGUAUAUGUGAUAUACAUGUUAUUGAUGUGUACCUUACUAAUGCUCGCAGUAGCACCUGGGUAUUUGAUACUGGUUCUGUUGCUAAUAUUUGCAACUCGAAACAGGGACUACGGAUUAAGCGAAGAUUGGCUAAGGACGAGGUGACGAUGCACGUGGGAAAUGGUUCCAAAGUCGAUGUGAUCGCGGUUGGCACGCUACCUCUACAUCUUCCAUCGGGAUUAGUUUUAGACCUGAAUAAUUGUUAUUUGGUGCCAGCGUUAAGCAUGAACAUUAUAUCGAUCUUGUUUGAUGCGAGACGGUUAUUCAUUUAAAUCAGAGAAUAAUGGUUGUUCUAUUUAUAUGAGUAAUAUCUUUUAUGGUCAUGCACCCUUGAAGAUUGGUCUAUUUUUAUUAUAUCUCGAUAGUACUGAUACACAUAUUCAUAAUGUUGAAGCCAAAAGAUGCAGAGUUGAUAAUGAUAGUGCAACUUAUUUGUGGCACUGCUGUUUGGGUCAUAUCGGUGUAAAGCGCAUGAAGAAACUCCAUACUGAUGGACUUCUGGAAUCACUUGAUUAUGAAUCACUUGGAACUUGCGAACCGUGCCUCAUGGGCAAGAUGACUAAAACGCUGUUCUCCGAAACUAUGGAGCGAGCAACUGAUUUGUUGGAAAUCAUACAUACUGAUGUAUGUGGUCCAAUGAAUAUUGAGGCUCGCGGCGGGUAUUGUUAUUUUGUAACCUUCACAGAUGAUUUGAGCAGAUAUGGGUAUAUCUACUUGAUGAAACACAAGUCUGAAACAUUUGAAAAGUUCAAAGAAUUUCAGAGUGAAGUGGAAAAUCAUCAUAACAGGAAAAUAAAAUUUCUACGAUCUGAUCGUGGAGGAGAAUAUUUGAGUUACGAGUUUGAUUUACAUUUGAAGCAAUGCGGAAUAGUUUCACAACUCACGCCACCAGGAACACCACAACGAAAUGGUGUGUCCGAACGUCGUAAUCGUACUUUACUAGAUAUGGUGCGAUCUAUGAUGUCUCUUACUGAUUUACCGCUAUUGUUUUGCGGUUAUGCUUUAGAGAUGGCCGCAUUCACGUUAAAUAGGGCACCAUCAAAAUCCGUUGAGACGACGCCUUAUGAACUGUGGUUUGGCAAGAAACCAAAGUUGUCGUUUCUUAAAGUUUGGGGAUGCGAUGCUUAUGUGAAGAAACUUCAACCAAAUAAGAUCGAACCCAAAUCGGAGGAAUGUGUCCUCAUAGGAUACCCAAAAGAGACUAUUGGGUACACCUUCUAUCACAGAUCUGAGGGCAAGAUUUUUGUUGCUAAAUUCGGAUCCUUUCUAGAGAAGGAGUUUCUCUCGAAAGAAGUGAGUGGGAGGAAAGUAGAACUUGAUGAGGUAACUGUACCUGCUCCCUUAUUGGAAAGUAGUUCAUCACAAGAACCGGUUCCUGUGACAACUACACCAAUCAAUGAGGAAGCUAAUGAUAUUGAUCAUGAAACUUUAGAUCAAGUUACUACCGAACCUCGUAGGUCUACCAGAGUAAGAUCCGCACCAGAGUGGUAUGGUAAUCCUAUUCUGGAAGUCAUGUUACUUGACCAUGGCGAACCUACGAACUAUGAGGAAGCGAUGAUGAGCCCAGAUUCCGCAAAAUGGCUUGAGGCCAUGAAAUCUGAGAUGGGAUCCAUGUAUGAGAACAAAGUAUGUACUUUGGUUGACUUGCCCGAUGAUCGGCAAGCCAUCGAGAAUAAAUGGAUCUUCAAGAAGAAGACUAAUGCUGAUGGUAAUGUAACUGUCUACAAAGAUCGACUUGUUGCGAAAGGUUUUUGAUAAGUUCAAGGGGUUGACUACGAUGAGACUUUCUCACUCGUAGCGAUGCUUAAGUCUGUCUGAAUCAUGUUAGCAAUUGCCGCAUUUUAUGAUUAUGAAAUUAGUCAAAUGGAUGUCAAAACUGCAUUCCUGAAUGGAUUUCUGGAAGAAGAGUUGUAUAUGAUGGAGCCGGAAGGUUUUGUCGAUCCAAAAGGUGCUAACAAAGUGUGCAAGCUCCAGCGAUCCAUUUAUGGACUGGUGCAAGCAUCUCGGAGUUGGAAUAAGCACUUUGAUAGUGUGAUCAAAGUAUAUGGUUUAAUACAGACUUUUGGAGAAGCCUACAUUUACAAGAAAGUGAGUGGGAGCUCUGUAGAAUUUCUGAUAUUAUAUGUAGAUGACAUAUUGUUAAUCGGAAAUGAUAUAGAAUUUCUGGAUAGCAUAAAGGGAUACUUGAAUAAAAGUUUUUCGAUGAAAGACCUCGGUGAAGCUGCUUACAUAUUGGGAUCAAGAUCUAUAGAGAUAGAUCAAGACGCUUAAUUGGACUUUCACAAAGCACAUACCUUGAUAAAGUUUUGAAAAAGUUCAAAAUGGAUUAGGCAAAGAAAGGGUUCUUGCAUGUAUUACAAGGUGUGAAGUUGAGUCAGACCCAAUGCACGACCACAGUAGAAGAUAGAGAGAAAAUGAAAGAUGUUCCCUAUGCUUCAACCAUAGGCUCUAUCUUGUAUGCAAUGCUGUGUACCAGACCUGGUGUAUGCUUAGCAAUAAGUUUAGCAGGGAGGUACCAAAGUAAUCCAGGAGUGGAUCACUGGACAGCGGUCAAGAAUAUCCUGAAAUACCUGAAAAGGACUAAGGAUAUGUUUCUCGUUUAUGGAGGUGACAAAGAGCUAGUCGUAAAUGGUUACGUCGAUGCAAGCUUUGACACUGAUCCGGACGAUUCUAAAUCGCAAACCGGAUACGUGUUUAUAUUGAACGGUGGAGCUGUCAGUUGGUGCAGUUCUAAACAAAGCGUCGUGGCGGGAUCUACAUGCGAAGCGGAGUACAUAGCUGCUUCGGAAGCAGCAAAUGAAGGAGUCUGGAUGAAGGAGUUCAUUUCCGAUCUAGGUGUCAUACCUAGUGCAUCGGGACCAAUGAAGAUCUUCUGUGACAAUACUGGUGCAAUUGUCUUGGCAAAGGAAUCCAGAUUUCACAAGAGGACCAAGCACAUCAAGAGAUGCUUCAAUUCCAUCCGGGACCAAGUCCAGGUGGGAGACAUAGAGAUUUGCAAGAUACAUACGGAUCUGAAUGUUGCAGACCCGUUGACUAAGCCUCUUCCACGAGCAAAACAUGAUCAGCACCAAGACUCCAUGGGUGUUAGAAUCAUUACUGUGUAAUCUAGAUUAUUGACUCUAGUGCAAGUGGGAGACUGAAAGAAAUAUGCCCUAGAGGCAAUAAUAAAGUUAUUAUUUAUUUCCUCAUAUCAUGAUAAAUAUUUAUUAUUCAUGCUAUAAUUGUAUUAACCGGAAACAUGAUACAUGUGUGAAUACAUAGACAAACUUAAUGUCACUAGUAUGCCUUUACUUGACUAGCUCAUUAAUCAAAUAUGGUUAUGUUUCCUAACCAUAGACAUGUGUUGUCAUUUGAUUAACGGGAUCACAUCAUUAGGAGAAUGAUGUGAUUGACUUGACCCAUUCCGUUAGCUUAGCACUUGAUCGUUUAGUAUGUUGCUAUUACUUUCUUCAUGACUUAUACAAAGUUCCUAUAACUAUGAGAUUAUGCAACUCCCGUUUAUCGGAGGAACACUUUGUGUGCUACCAAACGUCACAACGUAACUGGGUGAUUAUAAAGGAGCUCUAUAGGUGUCUCUAAAGGUACAUGUUGAGUUGGCGUAUUUCGAGAUUAGGUUUUGUCACUCCGAUUGUCGGAGAGGUAUCUCUGGGCCGUCUCGGUAAUGCACAUCACUAUAAGCCUUGCAAGCAAUGUAGAUAAUGAGUUAGUUAUGGAAUGGUGCAUUACAUAACGAGUAAAGAGACUUGCCGGUAACGAGAUUGAACUAGGUAUUGGAUACCAACGAUCGAAUCUUGGGCAAGUAACAUACCGAUGACAAAGGGAACAAAGUAUGUUCUUAUGUGGUUUGACCGAUAAAGAUCUUCGUAGAAUAUGUAGGAGCCAAUAUGAGCAUCCAGGUUCCGCUAUUGGUUAUUGACCGGAAACAGUUCUAGGUCAUGUCUACAUAGUUCUCGAACCCGUAGGGUCCGCACGCUUAAGGUUUCGAUGACAGUCAUAUUAUGAGUUUAUGAGUUUUGAUGUACUAAAGUUUGUUCGGAGUCCCGAAUGAGAUUACGGACAUGACAAGGAGUCUCUAAAUGGUCGAGACAUGAAGAUUGAUAUAUUGGAAGCCUAUAUUUGGAUAUCCGAAGUGUUCCGAGUGAAAUCGGGAUUUUAUCGGAGUACCGGGAGGUUACCCGACCCCCCCCCCCCGGGAGCUUAAUGGGCCUAUAUGGGCCUUAGUGGAAAUAGAGGGCAGCAAGGGGGUGUGGGGCACCCCCUACCAAGGCCCAAACCGAAUUGGUUUAGGGCAAGGGGGGCCUCCCCCCUCUUUCCUUCUCCCCCUCUCCCUUUCCUUCCCCUCUCCUAGUCCAACAAGGAAGAGGGGAGUCCUACUCCCGAUGGGAGUAGGACUCCCCAUGGCGCGCCCCCUCCUAGGCUGGCCGCCCCCUCCCCCCUUGGCUCCUUUAUAUACGGGGGCAGGGGGCACCUCUAGAUACAACAAUUGAUCUCUUGAUCUCUUAGCCGUGUGCGGUGCCCCCCUCCACCAUAGUCCUCGAUAAUAUUGUAGCGGUGCUUAGGCGAAGCCCUGCGACGGUAGAACAUCAAGAUUGUCACCAUGCCGUUGUGCUGACGGAACUCUUCCCCGACAUUCUGCUGGAUCGGAGUCCGGGGAUCGUCAUCGAGCUGAACGUGUGCUAGAACUCGGAGGUGCCGUAGUUUCGAUGCUUGAUCGAUCGGGCCGUGAAGACGUACGACUACAUCAACCGCGUUGUUCUAACGCUUCCACUUUCGGUCUACGAGGGUACAUGGACAACAUUCUCCCCUCUCGUUGCUAUGCAUCACCAUGAUCUUGCGUGUGCGUAGGAAUUUUUUUGAAAUGACUACAUUCCCCAACAAGUGCUCGUUUUCAUUCCCGUUUGGGAAUGUGGGUGGCAUAGAUCAUAUUGACCGUUUUCACCUGGGGAGGAAAUUUCUUCUGUCCCCCCAUGUUCGGACGUCGGGGCUCCUCAUCAUCGUCGCUGUGCAGCCCCUUGUCCUUGUUUUCAACAUUUAUUUUGCCGGCUUGUUUGAACACCCGGCAAUCUCUGUUAGUGUGGUUUGCUAGCUUAUCAGGGGUGCCGUGAAUUUGACACGAGCGAUCAAGUAUGCGGUCUGGACUGGACGAUCCCUGAUUGUUUCUUUUGAAUGGCUUUUUCCGCUGACCGGAUUUUGAGCCACUGAAUCCGGCAUUGACUACCGUGUCUUCAGUGUUGUCGCCAUUGUUCCGGCGCUUAUGUCUGUUGUGCCCCGGCUUGCCGUUAUUGUCGCGGAUAUCUGAAGUGCCAGAGUUUAUUGGCGUGGUGCUACUGCGAGCCAACCAGCUGUCCUCGCCCGUGCAAAAGUGGGUCAUGAGUGUCGUGAGGGCCGCCGUGGACUUCGGCUUUUCCUGGCCGAGGUGUCGGGCGAGCCACUCGUCGCGGAUAUUAUGCUUAAAGGCCGCCAAGGCUUCGGCGUCCGGACAGUCGACAAUUUGGUUCUUUUUGGUUAGGAACCGAGUCCAAAAUUUUCUGGCUGACUCUCCUGGUUGUUGGGUAAUGUGACUCAAUUCAUCAACAUUCGGUGGUCGCAUGUACCUGCCCUGGAAGCUGUCGAGGAACGCGUCCUCCAGGUUUUCCCAACUGUCGAUGGAAUUUGUUGGUAGGCUAUUUAGCCAAUGUCGGGCCGGUCCUUUGAGCUUAAGGGGAAGAUACUUGAUGGCAUGUAGAUCGUCACCGCGGGCCAUGUGAAUGUGGAGAAGGAAAUCUUCGAUCCAUACUGCGGGGUCUGUUGUGCCAUCGUAUGAUUCGAUGUUUACGGGUUUAAACCCUUCUAGAAAUUCAUGAUCCAUCACUUCGUCAGUGAAGCAGAGGGGGUGUGCGGCGCCUCUAUGCCGGGCUAUGUGGCUACGCAGUUCGAAUAAGUCUGGUUGGCUAUGUUUGGCCUGGCCAGACUUGUUGAUAGUGUAGCCGGCAUGAUGAUUGUCGUGGAUUUGUCACGGUAGAUGUCCUUAGUGUCAGGACUUAGUCGCGAGGCCAACGCAUCUAUGUGGUAGCUUGAGAGGGGUUGAGCGGAAUCGAGAGACGCAACACAAGACAGGGAUUUAGACAGCUUCGGGCCCCGGGAAACAUCAUCCGGUAACAACCCUACAUGUUGUUUGAGGCUAGAUCUCAUUAUCAUCACGAGGGAGUCGCCGUAAACCGACUCUCAUCUUUGUGUCUAGCCCUAGAGAUCAUUGCUUCUUGCUUGUAGCUUCUAACUCGUCCCUCUUUGGGGAGCCCUGCCCCUCCUUAUAUAUGUUGAAGGGGCGGUUUACAUGACUAGUCCUAGUUGGAUUAGGAUUACUCUAUUACAAGUGGAGUCCUAGUCUUGCUUCCUUUGUAGGAGAAUAGUCCUUAUGCUUUCCUCAUAAACCGGCCCACCAUUAAACGUGAACCAGCCUUCUGGGCCUUGGGCCUCGUCAUCCAUCUAACCCGCCCACCGGGUUACUAAUGAACCGCCAAGACCGGGCGGGUAUCCCGUGAACCGCCAAGCUCCGGGCGGGUUACCAGUGAGUCGUCCAGUCCGGCCGGGUUAAACUUCCAGCCGGUUUACACCACGGGGUAUAUCCCUGACAUUAGCCCCCAGUUUAAUUUGAAUUUAUCCAUGUUAAACUGAUCCUGAUCAUCCUUAAGUCCUUGUCACUUCCUUCUUCUAGAAAAUCCGGUUUAAUAGGCCAGCUUCAUAAUCAACUUGCUGACAUUAGUUUCUCAUAGAAAAUAUAUUGUGAAGAAUAACUCCUUUGAUUCAGCUCCCAAUGCUUAACAAAAAUAAUGGUCCUUGAAAUCCUCAUCUGAUCUUCAGCCGGUUUAAGAAUGUAAAACUUGCCGGUUUAUAAAUAUUGAUAGUACCGGUUCAUACUUGUAAUUGACCUCCAGCUUGAAAAUAUACCUCUUAUAAGACUAUCACUUGUAGCCCUCAAGUCUUAAGAAGGUAGCAUAGCAAUAGCUUAAGACUUGCUUCAAUAUAAAUAUCACAAUCUUGAAGAAAUCCAGGUUGUUCAUCUCAAUCACUAGUCAGAAUUGAGUAUUCCCCAUAUGUAGCCCCCAAGUGCCGGGUUGUCAUGCUUGCAGUAACCUGGGACUUGUAAUUUCCUGAUGCUCAUAAAAACUUCAACCAGUGUAGCCCCGAAGGGCCGGGUCAUUAUGCAAUAAUGAGCAGGGACUUUGUAAAUAUAAUCAUGUAAUCUUUGAACAGCAAUGGUGUAGCCCCCAAGGGCCGGCUCAGUAAUAUAAUAUUGGGCUGGGACUUUGAUAUAUACUUAAAUGAAAAUAACAUCAUAUGAUGUAACCCCCAUCAUGGGGCUUGAAUUCACGUCCACAAGGUUAAGAGCCUUGUGCUUUACCAACUGAGCAGUGGACCCUUCAAUAUAAUGAAUAAAAGCUUUGUUCCUUGAAUUGUUUAACAGGAGGAAUUGGUAGCCCCCAAGGGCCGGCUCAUUAUAAUGUGAUGAGUCGGGUCUUUAAUAAGAUGAACAAAGAAUGACUUUGCAUUAGCCCCCAAGUGUCAUGGUGCAUGCUUGCAGCGACAUGAGACUUGCAUAUUUGAUGUAAUCUCAACUUAAAUAAUGUAGCCCCCAAGUGCCGGGUUGUAAGCCUGCAGCAACUCGGCACUAUUCCUUCAAUUGUAGAAUAAAAACCAUAUCCAUUGAUAAUAUGAUAGCCAUUGCACUAAAGCGACUUUGAAAACCUUAAUCAUAAUACUGGUUAUUGAUAACCAUAAUAAAAAUCCAGCCAUGUUGGCUAUUUGAAGAUUUGAAUAAUAUAAUCCAAUGAUUUAUGAGCGCAUGAUUCCAAUGGCGCAAUCCAAAUAUAUACUGGCGACUUAUAGUCGAAACCAGACCGGGCUGAUAGUCUCCGGAUUAUGAUUUGAUCAUGUACUGACAGCUUGUAAUUGAAAGCCAAGCCGGGUUAAUGGACACCGGUUUACUCCAUGAUAAGAUGGUAACAUAAAAUCAAAAAAAUCAAACCGGGCAAAUAAUCUCCGGAUUAAGAAUUGACCGUGUUCCGUAAAUUGACAGUCGAACCGGUCUGCGAAUUUUGUCGGUUUAAGAAUGCAACAAAGAAGAAAUAUUUAUUAAAGAAAAUUUCAAGCAAAGGCAAUAAUAAAACCAUUUGCAAAAAACAUGCUAUACUGAGCUAAUCAGAUGGUGUUACCGUGGUCGGACAGGACCAAGCCCCCAAUAGGAGUGACAAUGGUUCAAGUCAGCCAGGUCCCCAAAUGAAACCGUGGCAUAUAUGCCAAUCAAAAGGCGUGGCAAUGGUUCGGGUUCGACCAAGCCCCCAAGUGAUUUUGCGGCCUUAGGCCGAUCAAGAGGCGUGACUGGUUCAGACUUGACCAUGUCCCCAAGUGAUCUGGUGGCUUUCGCCUAUCAAAAGGUGUCGCGUUGGUUCGGACACGACCAAGGCCCCAAGUGAUACAAAAAGCAAAUUUCAAGGGGUAAACCGGAGGCCGCUUUAAGGCAGAACCUCCGUGUAACCACGCAUGAUGUAAAAAAGAACAGAGACCCCGCUUUAUGAAGCAGAAGCCCCCAUGUGAUCAAUAUGUUAGGCCAAUAAGGCAGGAUAUCCAUGUUUGAACCGCGCAUCAUGGCAGCAGGUCCUCUUCGGUAAUUUUUAACUUUUUUGCAAGAGAUAAAUUCUUCUUAAACCGGGAUCUUGAACCGGAUAUGGAGAGCUUCAAAGCUUUGUGGGAGACAUCUUUCCCUUGAACCGGAUUUUAAACCGGAAUCUUCAUUUUCAGCCGGAAAUUUUCUGACGGCCUUUAAACUCGAACUUGCGAGAAGUUAAUUCCUUUUUGAACCAGAAAUUUUUAAACCGGAUUUGAGAGCUACAGUGAGACUGGCUUCCCUUGAGCCGGAUUGUAAACCGGAUAUUUGAGAGCUUCAGUGAGACUGACUUCCCUUGAACCGGAUUUUAAACCGGAAUCCUUUCUGAUGACCCGAAACUUCUUCAUUGAGCCGGGAUUUUGUAAUUGUCAUAUACUUUCUAAGCCGGAAAUUUUUUGACGGCCUUCAAAUAACAGUAGCCUCCGGGACCGGGUUAUCUUUCCCUCCAUCGUCCUGGGGUUCUUAAAUUUGCUAAAACUGGCAAGAUUUGCUGAGUCAUGUCAUCGUAGCCCCCAAGUCUCAAGGUGACUCGAGGAGUUGGCUUGAAACUCUCCAUAUUUGACCGUGAUAUAAACCGGCAUAACUUGUAUAUCAUUGGUGUUAAUAGCACGAUGUGAAUCCACAGAAGGUUGAGGUGACUGCGGUGGGUUAUAAAUGAUCUCGUAUGAGCCGUGUCAGCAACUUGGCCAAUGGUUCUUUCCAACUGGUGAUUUGAAGUUAACCAAACUGUAAUGGCGGCGACUUGUGCGCCUGCCCAUUGAACCACCCAGUGCAGACAAUGGUUGAUAGUAUAUGAUAAUUUGCCUCCAUUUUGUUGAAAGAAAACCGGGCUACCCAAGCUGUGACUUGUUCAUACUCAAUAAACACCUCAUGCAGACAGGUGCGGCCCGGUGUGUUGAUGUAGAUCAGGCCGCGAGAGGCAGACGGAAAAGAUGACCUCAGCAUCAGAGGUGGCUCAAACAGAUGAACCAGCCGCGGUAUUGUAAACCGGCGCGGACGGGCGAGCUAACCACGUCGUUUUGAUGUAGUGAACAAUUGUCCUGCAUCAACAAUAUUGCAGACCAAGACAAAGAUAAACUGCUCUUUUGACAAAAAAUAAUAUGUACCAAUAGAAUAUAUUUUAGAUGGAUAUCACCUGAUGCGCCAGGCUAGUAGUUAUCCACCGCGGAGUUGAUGAUCACCAUGGUGAAGCAGAAAUCAAUCACGGGUGAGUCCGCCGCGGCAGACGGCCACAGCGUUGUAAACCGGCGCGGUCGUGAGAGACGGCCACGGCGUUAUAAACUGGUGCAGGAAUCCGUUGAGUAACGACAACCACUGGUACCGAAUGAUGUUGGCGCGCCUCCAUCUCCACGGUAUAAUGCCACAUUAUAAUGAAUAUCCUCCUGUCUAUAAAAUAUAGCAGGGCAAAAUAGUUUUGCUUGGAUGAAUUAAGAUAUACUUAAAAAUAAAUAGGGUAAAUAGCACCUGAUACUCAGCCCCAUGGUUGAUGAUGAUUUCUGGAUCCUAACGUAAGAAGCAGUGCUGAUAGUACUAUACACAUAGCGUUUGUAGUCUGCCUUUGAACUCAGCAGCAUUUUUUUUUGAAAAUUGCUAUGAUGAUCCGCUAGUAGCACUUUAUCUCUUCUGACUCGGAUGGACGUAGCAGGUCCUUUGCUGUACGUAACAAUUUUCGGUAGCUGGUAGCACGGUCGUCCCAUUUUUGCUUCAUCUGAUCUUUAAUUCGGUAUCUCUUCCAUAAUGAUCCUUUGUACAAAAAAUCUCCAAUGUUUGGCUGAUUACACCAUCCGUAACAAGCUCGAGCUCUUGAAAUCUUACAGGGUAAAACGACCGGGCCGCCGGGUUGUCAUUACUGGCAGCGCUGCUUUUCUUUUCUAGCGAGCCGGCGGUGGGUCGACGACCAAGGAGGCCGAGACCGCGGAGGCGUCCCGGCGGCGAGUCGCAGAGACAGCUGCGAUGAUGGAGGUAACUCGGUGGGCUGCAGACCAUGACGGCGGGUCGCCCUUGCCCGACAGCGUGAGGCCGUGGCGGGUUGACGACGAUGAGGCCGACGGGGCUCUGGCCUGGUCACUUCUCCGGCGAGGGCGGAGCACAGGGGUCCGGCGGGCGCCGGUCCAUGGCGAGGCGGCAGCACGACGGAGGAGGCUGGAAGUUCCGCAGCAGCGGCGACAGGGAGGCGCGGCCAUGGGAUCGAUCACGGGCGUUCUCCUGGCGCUGGAUGUAUGCGUAUGCGCGGCGGUUUGGAACGAGUCCACGCCGGAUCGGUGCUGCGGGCAGCUCAGAAGCUGCAUGUCAAAGCGGAGGGACGAGCUGGCGUGGACUCCACGUGAAUACUAAACCGGCCACUAGUACUUUAGUACUGAUUCUGAUUUGAUGUCUGGAUGUGGUGCGUGGUAACAGCAGCAAAGUAGUAGCCUCGGGAUUUGAAGCGAAUCCGCCCACGUCGACUGCUGUGGACAAAUUUCACGCGCACCGGCUCUCUGCAGUAAACGGCAAUUGAAUAAUGGAGUCGGUCUCGGUCUCGCCGGAUCGUACUUGCUAUUUUGAUGGAAAUCAACCUUACCGGUGGACCGACAAACCGCGUGCGGCAACACGCGCGGAACCCUAGUUUCCUUUGAUCUCUAAACUUCUUGAUCGUGAAGGCCGAUUCAGACAUUUUUAAUCUUGAUCAAUGAACUUGGAGUUGAUGUAGAUCUUGACCUGCUCUUCUUCACUAGAAAAUUACGAACUUCUCGAUCCCUGAGAAAAAAUCCCUCCAAGAACUCAACACCACCGUGCGCGGGCCCCACGGUGGGCGCCAACUGUCGUGGAUUUGUCACGGCAGAUGUUCUUAGUGUCAGGACUUAGUCGCGAGGCCAACGCAUCUAUGUGGUAGCUUGAGAGGGGUUGAGCGGAAUCGAGAGACGCAACACAAGACAGGGAUUUAGACAGCUUCGGGCCCCGGGAAACAUCAUCCGGUAACAACCCUACAUGCUGUUUGAGGCUAGAUCUCAUUAUCAUCACGAGGGAGUCGCCGUAAACCGGCUCUCCUCUUUGUGUCUAGCCCUAGAGAUCAUGGCUUCUUGCUUGUAGCUUCUAACUCGUCCAUCUUUGGGGAGCCCUGCCCCUCCUUAUAUAUGUUGAAGGGGCGGUUUACUUGACUAGUCCUAGUUGGAUUAGGAUUACUCUAUUACAAGUGGAGUCCUAGUCUUGCUUCCUUUGUAGGAGAAUAGUCCUUAUGCUUUCCUCAUAAACCGGCCCACCAUUAAACGUGAACCGGCCUUCUGGGCCUUGGGCCUCGUCAUCCAUCUAACCCGCCCACCGGGUUACUAAUGAACCGCCAAGACCGGGCGGGUAUCCCGUGAACCGCCAAGCUCCGGGCGGGUUACCAGUGAGUCGUCCAGUCCGGCCGGGUUAAACUUCCGGCCGGUUUACACCGCGGGGUAUAUCCCUGACAACGAUCAUCGUCACAUGUUGGGGUGCGCCCCCGCGAUUCGUAGAUCGAUCUUGGUUGUCCUGCCUUGUUCUCCAGUAUGUCUCGCAGGUCCUGCCUAUUGCCUCGGGCCUUAGUGUAUUGGCAUGGGGGUGCGGGCUGGUAUUCGGGCUGAUAAGCCGUUUUAUCCCGGCCAAGAGGUGGCCGAUCGGCCUCUUCCUGUGCUGGUAGAUAGGCUCCUCCUCGAGUUGAGGUAGCAACUUGUGCUUUGGGUAACCUUUGAUGUGGCGCUCGAGUCCAUAUUCCUCGGCUGCCAGGACUUCGGUCCAUCUGUCUGUGAGCAGAUCUUGAUCAGCUUGGAGCUGCUGCUGCUUCUUUUUGAGGCUCCUCGCAGUGGCCAUAAGCCGGCGCUUGAAGCGCUCCUGCUCUACGGGGUCCUCAGGCACGCCGAAUUCACCGUCGCCGAGGCUAAUCUCGUCUUCGGAGGGGGGGGGGCAUGUAGUUGUUCUCCUCCGGGCAUCCGUCCGUCGCCUGUUCGUCUGGGCUGACCUGCCCGUCUUCCUGUUUGGCCUGCUCGAAGGCAGGCUGAUCGGGGUUGUAUACAUCUUCGGCACCAUCCGUAUUAUUUUCGUCUCCUGUGUCGGUAUUGCUGUGGCGGGGCUUGGAGCGGCGCCGAUGACGCCCAUGCUUUGCUUUCUUCCUUGAGGGGUUAUCCUCCAUUUCCUCGUCGCCAUUGGUUUCUUUCGGAGUGUCCACCAUAUAUGUAUCAUACGAGGAGGUGGCUGUCCAGCGCCCCGUGGGCGGUGGUUCCUGUUCUUCUCCUACAUCGUCGUCCACACCGUCGAUGUCUUCAGAGUCGAAGUCAAGCAUGUCGGUCAAAUCAUCGACAGUGGUAAUGAAGUGGGUGGUGGGUGGGCAAUGAAUUCCCUCGUCGCCUGCUUCCCACUCGAGCCGGACAUAGUUCGGCCAAGAGUCUCCUAACAAAGAGAGAGACUUUAAUGAGUUCAGCAUGUCGCCAAAGGGCGAGUACUGGAAGAUGUCCGCAGCGGUGAACUCCAUUACCGGAGCCCAACCAGAUUCGGCGGGCUCGGGGGCGCGCGGUCUGGAACCUACAGCCGGACACGAGUCCGGGGGUCCGGUGACACAGGCUUCCUUGGUGGUGGAGUCCGUGUUCGGCCUUACCGCCGAUGAGUGUGCGGCCUUGAUGUCUACUACACAACCUUCUUCUUGUAGACGUUGUUGGGCCUGCAAGUGCACAGGUUUGUAGGACAGUAGCAAAUUUCCCUCAAGUCGAUGACCUAAGGUUUAUCAAUCCGUGGGAGGUGUAGGAUGAAGAUGGUCUCUCUCAAGAAACCCUGCAACCAAAUAACAAAGAGUCUCUUGUGUCCCCAACACACCCAAUACAAUGGUAAAUUGUAUAGGUGCACUAGUUCGGUGAAGAGAUGGUGAUACAAGUGCAAUAUGGAUAGUAGAUAUAGGUUUUUGUAAUCUGAAAUAAUAAAAACAGCAAGGUAACUAAAGGUAAAAGUGAGCGUAAACGGUAUUGCAAUGAUAGGAAACAAGGCCUAGGGUUCAUACUUUCACUAGUGCAAGUUCUCUCAACAAUAAUAACAUUGAUAGAUCAUAUAACAAGCCCUCAACAUGCAACAAAGAGUCACUCCAAAGCCACUAAUAGCGGAGAACAAACGUAGAGAUUAUGGUAGGGUACGAAACCACCUCAAAGUUAUUCUUUCGGAUCGAUUUAUAAAAGAGUUCAUACUAGAAUAACACCUUAAGACACAAAUCAACCAAAACCCUAAUGUCACCUAGAUACUCCAUUGUCACUUCAAGUAUCCAUGGGCAUGAUUAUACGAUAUGCAUCACAGAAUCUCAGAUUCAUCCAACCAACACAAAGUACUUCAAAGAGUGCCCCAAAGUUUCUACCGGAGAGUCAAGAACGUGUGCCAACCCCUAUGCAUAGGUUCAUGAGCAGAACCCGCAAGUUGGUCACCAAAACAUACAUCAAGAGGCACGUGAUAUCCCAUUGUCACGACAGACAAACACGACAAGACAUACAUCAAGUGUUCUCAUAAAAGACUCAAUCCGAUAAGAUAACUUCCAAGGGGAAACUCAAUUCAUCACAAGAGAGUAGAGGGGGAGAAACAUCAUAAGAUCCAACUACAAUAGCAAAGCUCGGGAUACAUCAAGAUCGUGCCAUAGAGGGAACACGAGAGAGAACACGAGAGAGAGAGAUCAAACACAUAGCUACUGGUACAUACCCUCAGCCCCGAGGGUGAACUACUCCCUCCUCGUCAUGGAGAGCGCUGGGAUGAUGAAGAUGGCCAUCGGUGAUGGAUUCCCCCUCCAGCAGGGUGCCGGAA
rnacentral:lncRNA from 1 species